rnacentral:rRNA from 1 species
AGUGAACGCUGGCGGUAGGCCUAACACAUGCAAGUCGAACGGCAGCACAGUAAGAGCUUGCUCUUACGGGUGGCGAGUGGCGGACGGGUGAGGAAUACAUCGGAAUCUACUUUUUCGUGGGGGAUAACGUAGGGAAACUUACGCUAAUACCGCAUACGACCUACGGGUGAAAGCAGGGGAUCUUCGGACCUUGCGCGAUUGAAUGAGCCGAUGUCGGAUUAGCUAGUUGGCGGGGUAAAGGCCCACCAAGGCGACGAUCCGUAGCUGGUCUGAGAGGAUGAUCAGCCACACUGGAACUGAGACACGGUCCAGACUCCUACGGGAGGCAGCAGUGGGGAAUAUUGGACAAUGGGCGAAAGCCUGAUCCAGCCAUACCGCGUGGGUGAAGAACGCCUUCGGGUUGUAAAGCCCUUUUGUUGGGAAAGAAAAGCAGCAGGUUAAUCCCCCGCUGUUCUGACGGUACCCAAAGAAUAAGCACCGGCUAACUUCGUG